UCUUGUACCUUGGAGUCCCGAUAGGGUGG
rnacentral:sRNA from 1 species